UACGUAGGGUGCGAGCGUUAAUCGGAAUUACUGGGCGUAAAGCGUGCGCAGGCGGUUUUGUAAGCCAGAUGUGAAAUCCCCGGGCUUAACCUGGGAAUGGCAUUUGGGACUGCAAGGCUGGAGUGCGGCAGAGGAGACUGGAAUUCCUGGUGUAGCAGUGAAAUGCGUAGAUAUCAGGAGGAAUACCGAUGGCGAAGGCGGCAUCCUGGACCGGCAUUGACGCUGAGGCGCGAAAGCUAGGGGAGCAAACGGG
rnacentral:rRNA from 1 species